rnacentral:rRNA from 1 species
UACGUAGGGGGCAAGCGUUGUCCGGAUUUAUUGGGCGUAAAGAGCGUGUAGGCGGCCAGACAGGUCCGUUGUGAAAACUGGAGGCUUAACCUUCAGACGUCGAUGGAAACGGUCUGGCUAGAGUCCGGAAGAGGAGAGUGGAAUUCCUGGUGUAGCGGUGAAAUGCGCAGAUAUCAGGAAGAACACCCGUGGCGAAGGCGGCUCUCUAGUACGGUACUGACGCUGAGACGCGAAAGCGUGGGGAGCGAACAGG